rnacentral:rRNA from 1 species
AGUGAACGCUGGCGGUAGGCCUAACACAUGCAAGUCGAACGGCAGCACAGUAAGAGCUUGCUCUUACGGGUGGCGAGUGGCGGACGGGUGAGGAAUACAUCGGAAUCUACUUUUUCGUGGGGGAUAACGUAGGGAAACUUACGCUAAUACCGCAUACGACCUACGGGUGAAAGCAGGGGAUCUUCGGACCUUGCGCGAUUGAAUGAGCCGAUGUCGGAUUAGCUAGUUGGCGGGGUAAAGGCCCACCAAGGCGACGAUCCGUAGCUGGUCUGAGAGGAUGAGCAGCACCACUGGAACUGAGACGCGGUCCAGCUCCCGCCGGGAGGCAGCGGUGGGGAAUGUUGGAGAAGGGGCGCAGGCUUGCUCCCCCAAUCCCGGGGGGAGGAAAGAGGCCUUGGGUUUGUAAGCCCUUUUUGUGGGGAAAAAAAAGCAGCAGGUUAAUCCCCCGCUGUUCUCACGGUCCCAAAAAAAAAACCCCCGCCUAAUUUCGUC